CAGCCGCCGCGGGAAUACAGAGGGUGCGAGCGUUAAUCGGAUUUACUGGGCGUAAAGCGUGCGUAGGCGGCUUUUUAAGUCGGAUGUGAAAUCCCCGGGCUUAACCUGGGAACUGCAUUUGAAACUGGCAGGCUAGAGUCUUGUAGAGGGGGGUAGAAUUCCAGGUGUAGCGGUGAAAUGCGUAGAGAUCUGGAGGAAUACCGGUGGCGAAGGCGGCCCCCUGGACAAAGACUGACGCUCAGGUGCGAAAGCGUGGGGAGCAAACAGGAUUAGAUACCCCUGUAGUCCCUGUCUCUUAACA
rnacentral:rRNA from 1 species